UACGUAGGGGGCAAGCGUUAUCCGGAUUUACUGGGUGUAAAGGGAGCGUAGACGGCCACUCAAGCCAGAUGUGAAAGCCCGGGGCUCAACCCCGGGACUGCAUUUGGAACUGUAUGGCUGGAGUGUCGGAGAGGCAGGCGGAAUUCCUAGUGUAGCGGUGAAAUGCGUAGAUAUUAGGAGGAACACCAGUGGCGAAGGCGGCCUGCUGGACGAUGACUGACGUUGAGGCUCGAAAGCGUGGGGAGCAAACAGG
rnacentral:rRNA from 1 species